GUCCCUGUAGCACAAUGGAUUGCGCGUUGGACUUAAAAUCCAAAGGUCGGGGUUCGAAUUCCUCCUGGGAUG